rnacentral:rRNA from 1 species
CUACGGGUUGCUGCAGUGGGGAAUAUUGCACAAUGGGCGCAAGCCUGAUGCAGCCAUGCCGCGUGUAUGAAGAAGGCCUUCGGGGUGUAAAGUACUUUCAGCGGGGAGGAAGGGAGUAAAGUUAAUACCUUUGCUCAUUGACGUUACCCGCAGAAGAAGCACCGGCGAACUCCGUGCCAGCAGCCGCGGUAAUACGGAGGGUGCAAGCGUUAAUCGGAAUUACUGGGCGUAAAGCGCACGCAGGCGGUUUGUUAAGUCAGAUGUGAAAUCCCCGGGCUCAACCUGGGAACUGCAUCUGAUACUGGCAAGCUUGAGUCUCGUAGAGGGGGGUAGAAUUCCAGGUGUAGCGGUGAAAUGCGUAGAGAUCUGGAGGAAUACCGGUGGCGAAGGCGGCCCCCUGGACGAAGACUGACGCUCAGGUGCGAAAGCGUGGGGAGCAAACAGGAUUAGAUACCCCCGUAGUC